UACGGAGGAUGCAAGCGUUAUCCGGAAUGAUUGGGCGUAAAGCGUCCGCAGGUGGCUGUGUAAGUCUGCUGUUAAAGAGUCUAGCUCAACUAGAUACAAGCAGUGGAAACUACAAGGCUAGAGUACGUUCGGGGCAGAGGGAAUUCCUGGUGUAGCGGUGAAAUGCGUAGAGAUCAGGAAGAACACCAGUGGCGAAGGCGCUCUGCUAGGCCGUAACUGACACUGAGGGACGAAAGCUAGGGGAGCGAAUGGG
rnacentral:rRNA from 1 species